UAAAAAAAUAAAUUUUAUACUUCAAAAGUUGAAAUGUGUAUAAACUUCCAAAUGAUUUUCAUAGAAAUAGUUCAUUUGUUCCAAAUAAUCCCUUAUUAUCAUCUGAAAUACAACCAGCAGUGCCAUAAGAAUAAUCCCACAUGCAGUAUAGACCUACCUCCAGACAAUCAGAAUACCAAUUCUGUUCUUCAUGAGCAACUAUGGAAAAUUAAUUUCUCACCAUAAUAAUCCAUUCUGCAUUCAAGCUAGAAUUUGCCAGUGUCCAAACUUCUCACUGACAGGCUCAAACUAUCGACAUUAUCAAAAUGCCAGCGUACCUGCCGCAAACAGCACCCUGUCAAGAGGUUCUAGAGCUAUAAAUUUUGAAGGCUUUGGUGAACUCAACUAACUUGUUUAAAGGGACACGGAGNNN
rnacentral:lncRNA from 1 species